UUCAGCCACGUAAAGCGCUAUCUCUGUCGCACACUAUGUGAUGUGUGCGACAGAGAUAGCGCUCGAUGUGCAAUA